ACAUGCUUACAACAUAGUGUUAAUGCAUCAAAUCCCACUAAAACUCUGCAGUUAAGCACACUCGGGCUAGAGUAGUACUGGGAUGAGUGACCGCCUGGGAAGUCCUAGUGUUUUACAUGCC
rnacentral:rRNA from 1 species